rnacentral:rRNA from 1 species
GAUGAACGCUAGCUACAGGCUUAACACAUGCAAGUCGAGGGGAGACGAUAUUGGAAGCUUGCUUCCGAUAGGCGUCGACCGGCGCACGGGUGAGUAACGCGUAUCCAACCUGCCCACCACUUGGGGAUAACCUUGCGAAAGUAAGACUAAUACCCAAUGAUAUCCAUAGAAGACAUCUGAAAUGGAUUAAAGAUUUAUCGGUGAUGGAUGGGGAUGCGUCUGAUUAGCUUGUUGGCGGGGUAACGGCCCACCAAGGCGACGAUCAGUAGGGGUUCUGAGAGGAAGGUCCCCCACAUUGGAACUGAGACACGGUCCAAACUCCUACGGGAGGCAGCAGUGAGGAAUAUUGGUCAAUGGGCGAGAGCCUGAACCAGCCAAGUAGCGUGCAGGAUGACGGCCCUAUGGGUUGUAAACUGCUUUUAUAAGGGAAUAAAGUGGGAGUCGUGACUCCUUUUGCAUGUACCUUAUGAAUAAGGACCGGCUAAUUCCGUGCCAGCAGCCGCCGUAA